rnacentral:rRNA from 1 species
GAUUUCUGGUAGUACGCACCUGACCCGCCCCUCUGGGGUGUGCGUUGGAGCGCGUCUAUCAUCUUGUCAGCGAACAUUCAUGCUCUUCACUGGGUGUGUAUGCAAACUGGCUCAUUUACUUUGAAAAAAUUAGAGUGUUUAAAGCAGGCGAUUGCAUUGAAUACAUUAGCAUGGAAUAAUAACUUAGGACUUCGGUUCUAUUUUGUUGGUUUCUAGAACGAAGUAAUGAUUGAUAGGGAUAGUUGGGGGUGCUAGUAUUGACCGGCCAGAGGUGAAAUUCUUGGAUUCGGUCA